UUGAAAUAUCCAGUUUCCUACCUGGUACCUUAAAUCAUUACUUUUUCCGUAGGGAUAACUGGUGAACUAUCUCCAAAAUAUAUCCUUCUUGUCCGUUGACUCAGAUAGCUCAUUGGGAAGAAGCCAGCUGUCUCCUCUGGGAUGCUGGCUGGCCUUUGAGGUGGGCCCUGGAGCUACUGCCUGGGGAUCAAUGUACUACCACAACACAGACUAAAUUCCUGGUCCCUUGGGAUAUACCUCCAGUGUAAGACCUCCAGGAAGGACUCCUGCUAGGCCCAAUCACAGAGACUAGUAGGUGUGGUCAGAAAGCCCGGGGCACAGCCUGAUUGGUCAUUGUACAGGCGCGUUACCACUAAGGCUGAGCUUUAGGAGAAGAGCAAGACAAUAUCAAUGGCUAGUGGGGUUCACAUGAAGGCAAGACAUGGACAGCUGCUCCUUCAUCCGUGUUUUUAUCCCCAAGGAACAGCUUUGUGAAAGUGCUCUGUGCUCUCAAGCUGUUGCCAGCAGGGUCUGUCUCUUCAGCGUGGCUUUUAAGAGGAAAGUGCAGCAAACUGGAGCCUUAGCAAAAGGCUGCUCGCUAGCAUGAGAAGCAUUUGAUUCCAGCUUGGAAACAAGGGGUGGGGCAAAGCCUUUUUACCACCUCCACCCCAUCUCUCCCUCUCUCCCUUUCAGAAAGGCAGAUUUAUCUAGUGGUGCAUCCCUUGCCUUCAUGUCAGAGUGUCAGCUUUGUCAUAUUCCUGACUGUUGUUACUAGAAUUUUUUUAAGAUUUAUUUAUUUUAAGAUGUAUUUAUAGAUACUUUUUGCCUGCACACAUAUCUCUGUGGGGGUGCUCUGGAACUAGAGUAUGUGGGUUGUGGGAAUUGAACCCCAGUCCUCUGGAGGAGCAGCCAGUGUUCUUAAUCACUGAGCCAUCUCUCCAGUCCCAAUUACUGGAAUUUCAUAUGAAAGCAAAACCACGGCAUAAAUCUUAGCAAAUUUGAAUUCCAUACUUUUUACCUUUUUCCAUUCACCAGAGAUGAGAUGCAGGUAUAUUCACGUUAAAACAAAAAUGCAAACAAGUCAGAUAAUUAAAAGGAAAUCCAGAUGAUGCUCUCAAACCUGAAGAAACACUUGUGGAGCCAGAUGGAAGCAGAGUAGAGUUGGACUCUGUCACCAUCCCAAGGGAACGAAGCAUCAUGGGCUCUGAUUUGUUCACUUGUUUCUUUAUGUGCGUAUGUACAGGAAUGUAUACUUGUGCUUGCAUGGAAGUCAGAAGAGAGCAUCCUGUCUCCCUCUCCAUCACUGUCUUCUUCCUCUGAGCCAGGGUCUGUCCCUCAACCCAAGGCUCUUGGUCUUCUUGGUUAGGCUAGAAGGCAGCAAGUCCCAGCAAUCCCCCAGUCUCCGGCCCCUUAAUGGAUCAGUCUGGGGGUGUAGAGUGUCUGUGGGAUCCAAACUUGAGAUCGUAGCAAGCGAUCUUAACUGUUGAGCCCUCUUUCCAACUGCUCCCUGUCUUGACAGCAAGAAAAAUCCCAACAUAUACUCUGAGGUCAUGUUGGAACCAUGUGUUUGGAGACAGCAGAGGUUUGGGACAAUCUUUCCAAUCAGGAUGACUCACAGCUGUGAUCAGGGCUUUCUCUUUUAUCAGCUAUACUAUCAGAAAAGAAGACCCUUGUGAGCACAGUGUCUGCCUCAAGCUCUUCAUCUUUUCCACUGUUACAAAAUCUCUGGGGGAGGAUUACACACAGGAUCAUGAGUCCUGUGUAUGAAAUUAUGAUGACUUAUGAAUGAUUACAUUCAUCACAAUUACUGUGAAUAAAAAAUGUUAUGUUUUAAAGGAACACUGGGGAAAUUAUGAAAAGUGAAUUAAGCCAAGAACAAAAGGACAAAUCCAUAUUGCCUGAUUUGUUUUAUAUGAGGUGCUUAAGUGGUAAAUUCAUGGAGAGAGAGAAACAGAAGGGGGGCUGUGGAGACAGUCCUGAAGAGUUAACAGGACCACAGUGUCUUCUGGAAUAAUGUGAAAAUUGUAAAUGUGGAUGCUGGCAAUGACUAUAUAAGCCUAAAUGCCCCUGAAGUAUAUCCUUAAAGAGUGGGUAAAACAAUAUACUUUGUUAUGCAUAUUUCAGUAAGGGCUGUCUUAUUCGUAUUUUUAAAAUUAUAACACAACUGAACUUACAUAUGUCCUAAAUUGUUACUCCUGGGAGUGCCAAAACAUCAGGAGCUGCACUGUGGAGGCCAGCUCUGGACAUUCUCAGUAGAAAGCAUUAUUUCUGCAGAACAGAGGACGUGAGAGCAGAUGGGGCAGGUGGGAGAGGAGGGAUGACCCCAAAGUGCAAGCUGAAGCUCCUGGAAGCUGUGGACUCGCUUUUGAGACAGCUGCUAGCACCCACAUGUACUUCUGUACAAUGACCUUACUGCACACUGCACUGUGCAGUGGACUACUCUCCUGUCUGGAAAGCCACGAUGUUUUGUUACAGCAACAGAAACGGAACUGACACAUAACACCUACAGGUGUGUAACAGCAGGCUUUUUGUGCCCGACUCUUUCCCAGACACACCAAGGAACUGGGCCUCUGAACUGAGAUCCUCAGAGAGAGCCAUUUUCUAAGGAAUAUGCUGUCUAAAUACAUUCGUGUACACUUCAACUCCAUUUGCAACUGUGUUCACAUGUCAAAAGACCCUGGUUGAUUCAGAGAAACAGAGGGCCUCCUCCUGCUGGAGGAACAUGGCUCCCCAGGCAGGGAGAGAGAUGGAUCAUAAGAGACAGAUCCAGCCUUUGCCUUUGUCCCAUGGUUUCUCCCCCAACCCCUCCUCAGUGACAUUCAUCUUUACUUUCUGCUUCAAGGCCACUCAGACUCAGCAGACCUGCACCUUCCCUGGACUUAAGCUAAUGCACACCUGAGCUGAGACAGUUCAGAAGGCCUCCCUGCUGGCGAAACAAUGGGUUCACUUAAAAUCCAUGUCAAGUGGCCACUAACUUGAAACACCUGAAGAGCAGAGGGUUUGGGCCUAGUGAGAAAUUAGAAUUGUUGGGGGGCUAGGAGUAGAGCGUGUGGCAGAGUGCUAGUAUGUGAGAGGCCCUGGGCUUAAUCCCAGCACCUCAACUAAAAC
rnacentral:lncRNA from 1 species